AGAGUUUGAUCCUGGCUCAGGAUGAACGCUAGCUACAGGCUUAACACAUGCAAGUCGAGGGGCAGCAUGAACUUAGCUUGCUAAGUUUGAUGGCGACCGGCGCACGGGUGAGUAACACGUAUCCAACCUGCCGAUGACUCGGGGAUAGCCUUUCGAAAGAAAGAUUAAUACCCGAUGGCAUAGUUCUUCCGCAUGGUGGAACUAUUAAAGAAUUUCGGUCAUCGAUGGGGAUGCGUUCCAUUAGGUUGUUGGCGGGGUAACGGCCCACCAAGCCUUCGAUGGAUAGGGGUUCUGAGAGGAAGGUCCCCCACAUUGGAACUGAGACACGGUCCAAACUCCUACGGGAGGCAGCAGUGAGGAAUAUUGGUCAAUGGACGAGAGUCUGAACCAGCCAAGUAGCGUGAAGGAUGACUGCCCUAUGGGUUGUAAACUUCUUUUAUACGGGAAUAAAGUGAGGCACGUGUGCCUUUUUGUAUGUACCGUAUGAAUAAGGAUCGGCUAACUCCGUGCCAGCAGCCGCGGUAAUACGGAGGAUCCGAGCGUUAUCCGGAUUUAUUGGGUUUAAAGGGAGCGUAGAUGGAUGUUUAAGUCAGUUGUGAAAGUUUGCGGCUCAACCGUAAAAUUGCAGUUGAUACUGGAUGUCUUGAGUGCAGUUGAGGCAGGCGGAAUUCGUGGUGUAGCGGUGAAAUGCUUAGAUAUCACGAAGAACUCCGAUUGCGAAGGCAGCCUGCUGGACUGUAACUGACGCUGAUGCUCGAAAGUGUGGGUAUCAAACAGGAUUAGAUACCCUGGUAGUCCACACAGUAAACGAUGAAUACUCGCUGUUUGCGAUAUACAGUAAGCGGCCAAGCGAAAG
rnacentral:rRNA from 1 species